AGCAGGAUACAGCUGGCAGCAACUGUGACAUUCAGCAGUGCCCAGUUUUCCUCCACUUGGAGGAAGCACAUUGGCAAACGGAAGGAGGCAAUCAUCCAGCAGCAGGAUGCUAUGGGGCAAUAAUAAGGCAAGUUCACUUGCUGAGUGGGAUGGUGGCUUGAAGGCUGCUGAAAUCCAUGGUCAGAAGCUGGUUGGUGUCUAAUGAUGGACCUAACAGAAGCUGGCAAAUGUUGGUGGGUGGAAGCCAGUGGAGUUUGCAUCCUGAAGCUGCUGGAUGUCUCAUGGUUGAAGCAGGCUGGUGUUUGUGGAUGCAAAUUGGUUGAAAAUCACCUUUGGAAGCCACUCAACAGAAGCGGGUGGAUAUUUGUGGAUUGAAACUGGGGCACAAAUAUAAAUGAACGGAGAGUAAAUGAUGAGUGAAUGUGUCUGCUGAUGUUCUUGUCAGUUGGCGUAUGUUUGUGUGGGUGUAUGUUUGACGUGGGUGGCGCUGUGAUCUAAACCACUGAGCCUCUUGGGCUUGCUGAUCAGAAGGUCAGCAGUUUAAAUCCACAUGAUGGGGUGAGGUCCCAUUGCUCUGUCCCAGCUCCUGCCAACCUAGCAGUUUGAAAGCAUACCAGUGCAAGUACAUAAAUAGGUAACGUGGGAAGGUAAACAGUGUUUCUGUGCUCUCUGGCUUCCAUCACGGUGUUCCAUUGCGCCAGAAUCAGUUUAGUUAUGCUGGCUACAUGACCCGGAAAGCUGUCUGUGGACAAAUGCCGGCUCCCUCAACCUGAAAGUGAAAUGACUUCCGCAACUCCGGAGUCGCCUUUGACUGGAUUUAACGAUCCAGAGGUCCUCUACCUUUUUUACCUUGCAUGGGUGAAUGGGGAGUUUCCAAAGUGGUGCAAAUUGUUUUCCAUUUGGUUGUGUACUUUUUGAUGUGUUUUAUUUAUUGCUUAUGACUUUUGUUAUGUUGGUAAAUAUGUAAAUCUUGUCAUGUUGUCAUGCCUUGAGCAUUGUUUUAACCAUGGAAAGGCGGCAUACAAAUAAAAUGAUGAUGAUACUAACAAUUCAAUACUCUUAAAAAACCCCUGCAGUUUCCAGGAUUCUUUGGGGGAAGCAACAACUGUUAAAGUUGUAUAAUAGUGCUUCAAAUGUAUGGUGCAGAUGUUGGCAUGAAGGUCACUUUGUCCAGUAGUACGUUGGCUAGAAUGGGAGAACAGACAUGAGCCCAAACUGUAAUCUAGAAACCUGGGAAAUGCCAGUGACACAGAGCUAACAUGCAGUGCUGUUUGAGAUAGUGGGGAUUUUUUUUAUACAAAUAGCAGCAUUACUGGGGAGUGGGGCUGUAAAUCUGUAAUUUACGCUUAUAUGUUUCAAUUUGAAGAUGACAAAUUAAUCAAUGGUUCCAGUUAAAGUGCGCUUAAUGUGUACUUAUUUACAUUGCCUCGGGGCAGAUGGGACUACAUUCAUCAGAGUCAGGGAACAGGGUUGCCAAGUGACCAGGGUGAUAGCAGCCUGGUUUGCUCUUGUGCCCCUCACCACAUCAAUAUGCAGAAAUCACAGGGUGAAGCUUUACAAGGCGCAGAGGUAAGCAUCAAUGCCUAUGAUGCUUACACCUCAAGGCAGAACUACAGAACCCAGAUGAAAAGGUUGGCUGCCAUUUAUUGGUUCCUGUCCCGAAACACCUCUGUUCUGCUCUCUCUUUUUUCUGAGUUACCAGCAGCACUAUACUUAAGCAGAGUGUUUAGAGGACUGUUUGUUUUUCAUCAGUGGUGGUGAUGCCGAUCCGCUCCACGGAAAGAGCUGGCAUGUCUUGCAAAGAUGCACCUCCCCCUCCCUGCUUCCUCCCCACUUUCUUCUUCUUCUUCUUCUUCUCCCGCACAGCUUGAAUGCCCUGACUCUUUGUGAGAGAUAGUGCGACAGAUGCAAAGCAGGGAGCAAAAGUGGAGGCUCCAAUUAUUAUGGCCUUGGGGCUCAUUACAGGCAGUGGCCUUCUUCAUAAGAGUUACCCGGUGUUUGGCCAGCUCCCCGAUGGCUUUGCGCAUUCCUUUUCUUUCACUGAAUGAAUGCUCUAAUCUGGCUGCAGGGCAUCACCAGCCCCAAUGGCCCGCUUGCUGCACCUGCUCAUCAAGGAUUGCAAACACCUGCCAGGGUUGGGGCUUAGCAUUUAAGUGCUGCUAUUUGAAGACAAAUCUUUGGUUGUGGGCUGGUUUUGUGUUUUUUGGUCUGUGCCUGCUCCCUCAUCCCACCCACCCCCUCCAUUUCUCCUUACACUUUGGCGCUGGGGAUAUUGAAGGCAGUUUUCCUUUCAUUUUCUGCUUUGCACAGGCUGAUGUGUAAGAUCAAGGUGCAAGGCAAAGAAGGAAGAGCCUUAAGUACUGUAUAGUAGAGCCUGUGGCUCUCUCAGAGCCCUAUCAGAUUCAUUCUCUCUCUCUCUCUCUCUGUGUGUGUGUGUGUGUGUCUGCCUGCCUGCCUGUCUGUGUGUCCGAGUGUGUCCCUCUCCCAUCUCUACACCAGUUGCCGAAAUGCAGUCACUUCUAGUGGGGAAAUGGAGAAGAGAGCAUACCCUCCAACAUUCCUCAGAUAAAAAUAGGGACAUUUCUCACUCCCCCCAGCUGAUCCUCCUCAAACCCCCCCCCAUUUUGGGUCCCUCCCACCUCCAGAGCAUUUCCUAUCAGAAGAAGGCUAGUGCCGCCACCACUUCAACAAUGUAACACAGCACACAUGCCCUCCACUCCUUAAUCCUGAUUUUAUUUUGUUCUUUGGUAGAUUCACAGAAAGAAAAACACACACCAAGAAAUAAAUUUUAGAAAGGGGCAAGAUUAGUUGCAGAAGGUAGUAGUAGUAGUAGUAGUAGUAGUAGUAGUAGUAGUUGUUCUUCUUGUGUGUGUUUUGUUUUUUGUUUUGUUUUUAAAACAAUCCAAGACUCCUUGUGCUCUGCUCCUCCUCGCUUCCCAUCCAGGGCAGUCCUGCCCUCUGCCUGCCCCUCACAGCUGACAUAUCACACAGUAAUAAUAACAACAAUAACAAUUUAUUUAUUUAUACUCCGCCCAUCUGGCUGGGUUUCCCCAGCCACUCUGGGUGGCUUCCAACAAAAUAUUAAAAAUACAAUAAAAGUUCAAACAUUAAAAAACUUCCCUAAACAGGCCUUCAGAUGUCUUUUAAAAGUAAGAUAGUUGUUUAUUUCCUCGACAUCUGAUGGGAGGGCGUUCCACAGGGCAGGCGCCACUACCGAGGAGGCCCUCUGCCUGGGCCGGGCCUUGGCAGCAGGAGCCGCUACUCCUCCUCGCCCGCUCUCCAGCAGCUACUGUGAGCUACCCAAGGGAGAAGGCUGGCAGCAGCGGCCAUGGAGAGGCAUGGGAUGUUCCCUCGCUCCUGCCACCUCUUGGGACAAGUGUCAGCUGAUCCUCCUCCCUGAGCUUGGGGCAGCAGCACUGGCGAGGGAAAGAGGGACAUUCCGGGAUCAAAUCAGAAGCUGGAAUAGCUUUCGUAAUUCUGGAACUAUCCCUGGAAAAUAGGGGCAGGUGGAGGGUAUGAGAGAGUGUGGUGAUUCUUCACUAACUGUCUAGAAGCCCACUCCUCAUCCUUAAGCUAACCAGAGGCAGAGAGGAAGGCAGGAGGGUCCCGGUGCCUAUGGAGCUGAAAGAAGAGGGUUAAGGGCAGGGUACCUUGUUGUAGUCUAAAAACUGCAUUGUCACGUCAUUUGGCUGUAAUGUUGAUUUACACUGUCAGAGGCAGGAUGCCUGUGAAUUUGUGUUACUGGAAAUCUCAGAUGGGGAAAGCACUGUUGCGCCCAGAUCCUGCUUAAGGACGUCACACAGGAAUCUGAUUGGCCAUUGUGAGACCAGGAUGGUGGGUGAGAUGUCCCAUUGGCCGUAUCCAGCAGAUGCUUCUUAUACUCUGAGAUUGUUCUUUUUUUUAAUUAUUUAUUUAUUUGAUUUCUAUACCGCCUUAUACCCGAAGGUCUCAGGGCAGUUCACAUAAAAUAUCAAAUACAUAAAAUCGAAAUAAAACCAACAACCCAAUAAACACCCCCCCCCCCAAAAUAAAGAGCCAGCAUUUUUAAACAGGGUAUAGGAUGUAGAUCAAGUCAGGCAAAGGCCUGGUUGAAAAGGAAUGCUAUUGCCUGGCACCUAAAGGUGUACAGUGAAGGUGCCAGGUGAACUUCCCUGGGGAGAGCAUUCCACAGGCGGGGAGCCACUGCAGAGAAGGCCCGUUCUCAUGUUGCCACGCUCCAGACCUCUUGAGGAGGCAGCACACGAAGGAGGGCCUCAGAAGAUGAUCUCAGGGUCCAGGUAGGUUCAUAUGGGAAGAGGUGGUUAGGUUUGCCACCUGUCCCUGAGUAGGAGAAGACUACUUUGCAUUUGCUGUAGGAGGUGGGGAGAGUUCUUUUGCACUCAGUGCUUAGCUCCUGCCUAUGGGCUUUCCAUGGGACAUGGUUGGCCACUGUGAGAACAGAGUGCUGAACUUAGUGGGACUUUGGCCUAAUCCAGCGGGGCUCAUGUUGUUUCUAUAUCCCAAAACUUUCUACAUCCCAUUUAGUGCUAUAGCUAAUUCAUUUCCACGGAUUCUUCUCAAAAUUAUCCUUUGGGAACUUUCAUGUCCCUGUAUUCUCCAGGAUUUUUCCUGCAUGCACAUGUGUUGUCUGGAUAUUUGAUAGAUGAGGGUUGCUGUUUUGAAAGCCCUUAAUGAUAGUUUGACUUUUAACAUUUGAUCCGACCUUUUAUAUUUUGCAGUCUUCUCAAAAGACAUUAUUAAUAGCUCAUAUUCAGUGGCACAUCACAAUGGUUUUCAAACUUUCUACCUUGAGGGCAAGUUUUCCAGUUCAACAGGAAAUGAACCUGACUUGUCUCCCACAGAACCAUGCACUGGGGUAUUUUCUAUGGCGCAUAGUUGGUUCACCUUGGGCAAUGUUGGACCUUCACAAGUUGUCUUAGAAUGUGCCCAGCAUUCCACAUUGACUGCAUCUUGAAGAGGAAGGUGACCAGUGGUGGGAAAGCUAUAUUUUGCUUGUCUUUCUCAUGGACGAACCCCUGAUAUUCUUCUAAAGAACCUAGGAAGAUCAUUUGGCAACAUAUGAUACUUCACAGUGCAUUGACCAUUUUAAGACAUAGCAGCUUAUUUUCAUAUCAAAGUAAUCAAGAGAAUCUAACACAUACUAAAACAUUCAUGUUUUGAGGGUGUGUUUUUUAAACAUUCAAACAUCUAAACUGUAAAGUUUCAUUAAAAGAAUUGAAUGGGCAACUAGCCAAUUGGCUUCUGUGCAAAUAUUUAUGUUGGCUCUACGUAAAACUGAAAUGUCCUUUAUCCAUGUUAUGUGUGCUAAAAUGAUGGGUGGGUUACAGAGACGGAGAGGCAGGGUUAUGCAGAUAGCACCAGGCAGGCCUGAACCCACCACUUGCUUUCAUGAUGUUGAUGUCGAAAUGUGAGUAAAGCACAUUUAAUUAAUUUGAAUAAAAGAAUGAGUAGUGGGGACACUCUUCCGAUCCCUGAGUCCUACAUGCUGCUUCACUGAGCUGCUUCACUGAGCUAAGCCAAAUGUGUGUUCCUCCACACAGGCUGAUGGUGAUUAUCAAGAAUUUGGGGGACCAUUUGCCCCCUUAAUACCUAGACUGAGGAGAACCACCCUGACCUUAAAUAAACAAAGCAGGAUAAGGGGAGAAAGGCCUGUGAAUUCUUAUUAGUAAGGGAUAGCCAAUGUGGUGCUCUCCAGAUAUUGCUGGACUACAACUCCCAUCAGUGCCAGCCAACAUGGCCAAUGCUCAAGGAUGGUGGGAGAUGUAGUUCAAUGACACCUGGAGGGCACCAUAUUGGCCAUCCCUACUCUUGCGGGGUGGGGAGGCCUUUCUAUGUCCCAUCCCCUUCAGGCUUAUAGCAACACCAACUCACCACCACAGCAGGUCAAAUGAAAGAGGGAAGGGAACACACUGUGCAAAUAAUUACAGAUCUUAGCAAGUCAGUAAACUUAUACCUCAGUUCACAAGCGAUACAUGGGGUGUUACUAAAGAGUAAGGCACCAAAAUGAAUUGGUGAACUCUGGUGUAUUUGCACUCUGUGGAAAUGGUUGAUAGUGAAAGAGGAGAAGAAAGAGAACUGUUAACAAAGAGCCUUAGAGAAAGAUUAAAAAGACAGAAAUGAAAUCAAGCAAAGACAGAUCCAUGAAAGCCCUGGCUGUGAAUAGAAGAAUGGAGGAUUAUGUUGUGAGCUGUGUCAAGAGGUGGAAGAAAGAUCAAGAAGCAGGAGAACAGAAUAAGGGCCUUUGAAUUUAGCAAGAAGGUCAUUAUAUACUUUUGUCAGAACAACCUUGCUUGAACAGAAAGGGCAAAAUCUACAAUGGAAUAUAUCAAAAAGAGAAUUUUCAGAAAGAAAACUGAGACACUGAGGGCAGAACUAUGUGUAAGCUUAGCAAAUACGUAUUUCAAACUCACAUUCACUGUCAUGAUGCAAAUACUACACAAUAGUGGACACAUUUGGCAAUGAGAAUUGGAAGUGGGUCCUUUACCUGUCCUGUAGCCAUCUAUUUUCCUUUUUCUCCUCAGGUGGAAGGAAAGGGAAACUGAUAUUUUUCCUCACAAUGUGGUGUUCUACUUGGAGUGUGGAUCGAAUGCUUGAAGAGCUUUGAAAGAAAGGAAAUAAGAGAAAGAAUAUGGCCGUUAGUCCAGUGACAAAGUAGUUCUUGGUUUGUAGUACUGUGUGGGACAGUAUCUUGCUUAAGUUUGAAGAAAAAGUGUUGGAGGUUACUGCUGAAUUAAAAAUGUGAACCAAAGAACAGAGAAGAGAAUAAGCAAUAGAGAGAGAGAGAAAUUAGACAGAGAGGUAUAGGAACUGGACUUAGCAACUGAAGAUAAGGAGAAGCUGCAUUUUAAAAGGUGAAAAAGCAGAAAUUGAAGGGAAUAUGAAAAUGAUUUGGAGGAGGAGGAAGAGGAGGAGAGGAAGGACACGCAAAAAGAAGGACAGAUUAAGUUUCAUCAGCAAAAGAAAGACGGUGAACGACUGAGAAGAAAUAGCCCUUGGAGCUGUAGAGAGAAGAGGGGAGGAGAAGAGGUUUGUGAAAAGAUAAACAAUUGUGAGAGCAGGAAGCAGAAGGCUGUGUCAAAUACACAGCUGUUUUGUUUUGGUUUUUUAGAAGAAAGUUCAGAAGAAGAAAUUAAUGGAAAUGUAAGCCUAUGGUGGGAGAAGUUGGCAGGAGGAAUGUAUCUGCUGCUGGAGCCUCUCAGCUGCACAAAUACUAGAUGAAUCCCACUUAUCUGUAAAGUUUGUGAGAUAUCCACAACCAAUUUGAAGUUUGGAUAAAUGAGACAUUUCCACAGAGCUGCACGGAAAUGGGACUAUGCAGAGAAUUUGCAUAGUAAGUUCAAAUAACCUCCUUCCAUAUCUCCCUUCUGCAAGCGCAGGGCAGGAAUAAGUAACAUGGAGCGAGACCAUUUAACCACUGUGAUUUGUCUCCUCUGUGGGACACAUCAUAAAACCACAGCUGCCAGUGGUUUUGCAGCAAACACCACGUUUACCAAGGAGGGAGGAGAUUAUCACCUCUUGCUAUGUGCUUGUGGUGUGUGUUCCUCCCUUGAAUCCAGUCCCUGGGUACUUAUUAUCAAACUCUCUUAAAUGCGGUUUGCCAUCUAUUUCUGUACACCUCUUUGCUGCCUCUGUAAUUAUUGUGGGCGUUUCUAUAGUUACUUGGCCCAGGGGUGGCUUCUUCAUUACAGCCGUGGUCUGUAGUUCAGCAUGAGUAAGGGAAUUUUGACUGUUGCUCCGUGCCCCCAGGAGCCACCAAGGCACCAGCACCAAGACACAGGUUCUAAAACAAAUAAUAAUGCAAGGUCGGUGUUUGUGUGUGGGUACCGCGCGAUGGUUUGAAGUGAGGCUAGAAAAAGAUCCAGCACUGGAUAUAGCAGAUAGGUACGAGUGGGGCCCCAAUGAAAUUUGCCCUGGUGUGAACUCUGUCUCUCUUUUGUGGCUGCGCGUUGUAUAAACUAUACUUAACACAGUGCAAGGUGGGGAGCAUCUGCGACUUUUUAAAGCCAUGGGGAUGGGAGUGUUUGAUUCUGUCCCAGAUAUAUAAUGUGAUUUGAGGCAGGUCAGAAAACCAACAGAACUGGAUCUGAUGAUAACAUCCUUCAGCAUGUCAUGCCUUUUCUUAUACAGUGGUACCUCGUACUUAAUUCGUUCCGGAGGUCUGUUCUUAACCUGAAGCACCACUUUAGCUAAUGGGGCCUCCCACUGCUGCCACCGCACAAUUUCUGUUUUCAUCCUGAAGCAAAGUUCUUAACCCAAGGUACUAUUUCUGGGUUAGCAUAGUCUGUAACCUGCAGCGUAUGUAACCUGAAGCGUAUGUAACCCGAGGUACCACUGUACUGAUUUAUACACCUCUAUCACAUCUCUCCUCCACCACCUUACUCGCCUCUUUUCUAACCUAAAAAGGCCCAAAUGUUAUAACCUUUCCUCACAGGGGUUUGCUCCAACCACUUGAUUAUUUUUGUUGCCCUUUUCAGAACCUUUUCCAGCUCUGCAAUAUCCUUCUUGAGCUGUGGCGGCCAGAAUGGUACACAGUUUUUUAAGGUGGUCUCACCUUAGCUUUGAGUAAUGGCAUUAUCAUAUUGGCAGCUUUGUUUAUAGUCCCUUUCCUCACGAUCCCUAACAUGGAAUUCACCCUUUUUGCAGCUGCUGCAUGUUGGGUCAAUAUCUCCACUGAGCUAUCUAUUGUUGUUGUUGUUGUUGUUGUUGACCAAUUCAGACCCUAUCAGUGUAUAUUUUUAAUUAGGAUUGUUUGUCCCAAUAUGACUCACUUUGCAAAUUUAACAUGGAGUGAGUAUUGAAAUGUUAUAAUAAUAAUAACACAGUCGUACCUUGGUUUUCGAACAGCUUAGUUCAUGAGCAACUUGGAACUCGAACGUCACAAACCUGGAAGUAGGUGUUCUGGUUUGCAAACUUUGCCUCGGAAGCUGAACGUCUGGUGCGGCUUCUGCGGCUUCUGAUUGGCUGCAGGACACUCCUGCAGCCAGUUGGAAGCCUCACCUUGGUUUCUGAACGUUUUGGAAGUUUGAACAGACUUCCGGAAUGCAUUCUGUUCGAAAACCAAGGUAUGACUGUAUUAAUGUAAUAAUAAUAAAUCACAAAUUGCUUUCUUUCUUUCUUUCUUUCUUUCUUUCUUUCUUUCUUUCUUUCUUUCUAACUUUAUGUAGGAACCUAUAACAGAAUCAUAGUGGAGAGCCAUAUGUAUGAAAUAGCUUCCACAUGAACAAAUGAGCGUGACUGUAUCAGAAAGUACGCUUGAAAACAAGUGUUUCCUCCCUGACCUAAUGGCUUUGGAGUUUUUCCACAGACGAACCUCACCUGACAAUGAGAUGCUAAAAGUUAUGUGCAACUUUUACCACAAAAGAACCAGCAGUUAAGAGGGCUUUCAAAUAUCACCGUAGGAUUUAUUCACAGCAUUGCAAGCCGGUGUCCCAAGCCCCAUCACCUUGAUGUAGCCCCCUGGGCAACCAGCAGUCCUGCGCUACACAGCGCCACAGCCUCACCAGCAGCCGUUGAUUUUUAUUGAUCCAUUCCUUGUUCUUUUAAUCUGGUGGCAACUGCACGCACAAGCUCUAUCCUGACAAAUGAACAGCUGUGAGUAACACCGGGGCCUGAGAUAUAAUUAUUUUAAUUUGAUUGCAUCUUAUGCCUCCGAGCCCAGAUGGCAUGACAAAGCCUUGGUGCCAUCCUGCUGGGUUGGCACACUGGGGCCGCCAGACACUGGUUUCAACCACUGAGCAUUGAAAAGGCAGCGUCUUCAUUCAAGUGGGAGGAACCCUGCCAGCGCUCUAGGAAAGAAAGAUGGUCAAGGCAGCAGAAUAGCCUUAGUCCUGCUUGGGGAGGUGUCUCCAUAAAGCUAAGUGAUAUUUGCCUCCUUUUCUCUCCUCCCUCGCCCUCCUGCCCUAUCCACCCUCCCCUUUCCCUCAUGGCCUAAAUGGCCUGGAAUUGAAAUCACAGUAUCUCUUAGGCAAUGAUGCUUUCACAGGGCAGCAGGUGAAGAGAACCGAGCACAUGUUUCUUUUGCUGUUUUUACCAUCCUGCACUACAGACCCAGAGACUGAUUGAUGGAUUUUUUUUUUUAACAUAGCAUUCUUGAGGCCCCAAGCCUGCCUCUGUCAGCCACACUGAACAUAUGUCUACAUAUUCCCCUGGGCAGCAUUUAAAUGUGCGCAUCCAUGUGGCUGUAUUUGUUUAGUGUGUGCUCCCACUGAUCUAAUGGGACCUUUCCCAUGACCCAUUGCUUCCUUAAGUUUGCCACUUGCUGCUGUCAAGUGAGAGAAGCCUUAACUUGGAAGGCUAGCGCUGGAAGUGAAUGAGACCCUCCCUCCUAUGCACCCCCCCAGCUUCUUUUUCAAACUGAAUUCUCUAGCUGAUGGAUUGUCAAAC